rnacentral:rRNA from 1 species
UACGGGGGGAGCAAGCGUUGUUCGGAUUUACUGGGCGUAAAGGGCGCGUAGGCGGCGCGACAAGUCACUUGUGAAAUCUCCGGGCUUAACCCGGAGCGGCCAAGUGAUACUGUAGUGCUAGAGUGCGGAAGGGGCUACUGGAAUUCUCGGUGGUAGCGGUGAAAUGCGUAGAUAUCGAGAGGAACACCUGCGGCGAAGGCGGGUAGCUGGGCCGACACUGACGCUGAGGCGCGAAAGCCAGGGGAGCGAACGGG